ensembl:Y_RNA Y_RNA Y RNA
GGCUGGCUCGAGCACAGUGGUGUUUACAGCAAACUGAUCACAACCAGUUACAGAUUCCUUGGUCCUUCUCCACUCCAACUGCUUCACCUGACUAGCCUAAA